UUUCGCAAUACACAACAAUUUCAAAUCAAAUUCUAACUCAAUUGUUCUAAUAUCAACCAAUAAUUCAUGAGAAUCCUAUCAUUUAAUACAUGAGAAACCACAUAAAUCAAUGGUGCAUUCCAAACCCUUUAUUUCUAGAAUUAAGAACUAAUGACGAUUCAAUGAAGAAAAAAAAAUUUGUGAGUCCAUUCCUCAUCCAUUCUAAUGGAACAUGAUAUUGCUCAUCUUAUGAACAACACAAGAAUACAUGGAAAAUGAGGAAAUUUAUGAUCCUCUGACACGCAUAAAAUGCAACAAGACUCCAUAAGGAAAUAUUAAAGGAAAAGAACACCAGUUUUGCAGCAGGAGAAAAAAAUAAUAAUUGUAGGAUUUAAGUAAUGUACCUAUUUUUCCAUUUUCAGAGAAGCAAUCCCGUACAUGGAUUGCAUAAAAUGAACAAUGUUCAGAAACAGAAAGUUUGUAGCAGAGGCUUAACGUGACCAACUGUUCCCAGAAGGAAGGUGUAGGGAAUUCUCCCACGGUAUCCAUUUUUUUUUUAAGCAAUUGCUCUGCCCAGAGUGGAAGUAGCAUCAAAGCCACAUGGCAUCAUUUCACUCCUUGCCCUUUCAAAAUCUAUAGAAAUCAAACCAUAGCCUCAAGUAAUCACGCGUUGCAAGAAUACCAGCUGCUGUUGCAGGACACUGCAUAUGGAUGAUAAGGAGGGACAGAUUGCAAGUCCUGAAUGCCAGAGUCCUACCUCGCAGAGCUAGCUAUGCCUGUCUUGGAAAACUUACUACCAGAUGGAGAAUCUUUUACUGCUUUAGAAUCUGCAUUGAUUGCAAUAUUCCCAAUUCCUAUUUCCAUUGCCUCCCUCUCAUCCUUCUCCCCUCCUUUUUUUUCGGAGUUUACACCUUCCAAGGCUUCAUUUUGACAAGAUGGCAUAGAUGGCUCUAGGAGACAAGGGCCUGAACUGAUCCAUGGGUGAAGAAGGCACUGAGCAGCAGUUGGCCGCUUCUCAGGGACAAAAUCAAGGAUAGGGACCAAGAAAUCGGUCAUGUCAUUUGCGUCCUUUUCAUUGAAUUCAUACUUCUCGAUGAGAACCUUAUUCAAGGGCCAAAAACGCAAUCUGCGUAUGUGCCUCAAAUCACCAUAUCUAUUAAAGAAGUCCCGAGAAUAGCGGCCACCCAAGGCAAUCUGAGAAUCAUUGCCAAUAUGUUGAAGUUAGAAGUAAAAGUCUUUAAAUCAACUUACUAGACGUUGAAAUGCAUCUCACCUUGCGCGGCAUCAUUCCAAGAAGCUCCAUCAUCAAUGCUAAGUGGUCCUCAUCCCUAUCAAAGUUGUCACCGCUGUGGGGGUCAAAAAGGACAUCACCAGUUGCAAGCUCAAAACAAAUGCAAGCAAAGGACCAAAGAUCAGCUGAUGUGGAAUAUUUAGAUCCAAGUAUCACCUCUGGACACCGGUAUUGUCUUGUCUGGAUAUCAUUUGUAAACUGUUUGUAUGUCCAGCAUGCAUUUCCAAAGUCCACCAAUUUGCACUUCAGGUCAACUGAGGCCAGCAGUUUCUUCCUUGUGGAGUGGCUUCCCCUCUUAUUUCCCUGAUUUUCUAAAUCAUUGCUCUUCGUUCCAUCGGCAUCAGAUCCACUGUUUAUAUUGUCAGAACUAGUAGGCCGAUCUUCAGCUGAACCCACAUUUGUUUUAGCAUUAGCAGAUGACUCCUCUUUAGCAUAUUUUUCAGGAUCUGCAUCAGCUUCAGCAGAAACUUCCUUUUCCACACAACCCUGAGCUGCUCGCUUAGCCUUUCUUCGUAUCUUUUUCUUUUGAUUUCUUGUCAAAUCUCCAUUUAUUUUGCCAAUUGCAGAUUCCACUACAGUCUUAUCCUUACUAUUUGGAAGAAUAAGAGGAGCACCAGAUUUUCUCGGAUCCUUUGAUGGAUCUAUCAUUGAUAAUAGCAAUAUAUUCUCUGGCUUGAGAUCAGUGUGUAUGAUAGAAAGCUGCCUAUGCAAGUAAUCCAAACCCACUAAAAUGUGGAAACAGAUCUCUUUAACCUUAUGAAUGGGCAUUCCACGAUAAUCAGAAUACUUGAUAAGGGUCAAAAGGUUAUCCCCUAAGUACUCAAAAACCAUACAAACAUGCUGUCCAUUCGGACCUGAAUGCUUAAAAUGAUCCAAAAGCUUUACCACACAUUUUUUAUCAUCAGGGUCUCCCUCUGCAAUCUGUUGCAAGAUGGUUAUCUCAUCCAUGGCAGCUUCGGUAUAAUGUUGAGCACUUUUUUGUACCUUUAAAGCUACAUAUCGAGAUUUUUGCGUGUCCCAAGCGAGCCAGACUGUGGAGAAAUGGCCCCAACCAAGCUUACUCUGGACAACGUAACGGCCGUUCUUAAAAGUGUCACAUAUUCGCACCGCGUGGUAGCCGCCGCGCCGGUAAUCCUCUGUUCCUUCGUCCUCCGACGUGUAGUCUCCGCUCUCGCUGCUCCGAUCCUCCUCUUCCACCAGCUGCUUCUUCUCAUCCAUCGGCCCUGGAUUGAUUCUCCCCUCUCUCUACAGGGCUUUUGAGCUUGGAGAUUGAGAAAAUGGUGUCGAAUUCAAUGGAUUAGGGUGGCAGUAUCACAAUGAUGAAAAAAUAGACUUUGUUAAAUUCUGGAACGCUGAGAAUUGUACCGGGAAAGAUGAGCAAUUUCUCAAUUCCA
rnacentral:misc_RNA from 1 species